rnacentral:rRNA from 1 species
AGAGUUUGAUCCUGGCUCAGGAUGAACGCUGGCGGCGUGCUUAACACAUGCAAGUCGAGCGAAGCACUUUUGCGGAUUUCUUCGGAUUGAAGCAAUUGUGACUGAGCGGCGGACGGGUGAGUAACGCGUGGGUAACCUGCCUCAUACAGGGGGAUAACAGUUGGAAACGGCUGCUAAUACCGCAUAAGCGCACAGUACCGCAUGGUACCGUGUGAAAAACUCCGGUGGUAUGAGAUGGACCCGCGUCUGAUUAGCUAGUUGGUGGGGUAACGGCCUACCAAGGCGACGAUCAGUAGCCGACCUGAGAGGGUGACCGGCCACAUUGGGACUGAGACACGGCCCAAACUCCUACGGGAGGCAGCAGUGGGGAAUAUUGCACAAUGGGGGAAACCCUGAUGCAGCGACGCCGCGUGAGCGAUGAAGUAUUUCGGUAUGUAAAGCUCUAUCAGCAGGGAAGAAAAUGACGGUACCUGACUAAGAAGCCCCGGCUAACUACGUGCCAGCAGCCGCGGUAAUACGUAGGGGGCAAGCGUUAUCCGGAUUUACUGGGUGUAAAGGGAGCGUAGACGGCAUGGCAAGCCAGAUGUGAAAGCCCGGGGCUCAACCCCGGGACUGCAUUUGGAACUGUCAGGCUAGAGUGUCGGAGAGGAAAGCGGAAUUCCUAGUGUAGCGGUGAAAUGCGUAGAUAUUAGGAGGAACACCAGUGGCGAAGGCGGCUUUCUGGACGAUGACUGACGUUGAGGCUCGAAAGCGUGGGGAGCAAACAGGAUUAGAUACCCUGGUAGUCCACGCCGUAAACGAUGUCGACUUGGAGGUUGUGCCCUUGAGGCGUGGCUUCCGGAGCUAACGCGUUAAGUCGACCGCCUGGGGAGUACGGCCGCAAGGUUAAAACUCAAAUGAAUUGACGGGGGCCCGCACAAGCGGUGGAGCAUGUGGUUUAAUUCGAUGCAACGCGAAGAACCUUACCUGGUCUUGACAUCCACGGAAGUUUUCAGAGAUGAGAAUGUGCCUUCGGGAACCGUGAGACAGGUGCUGCAUGGCUGUCGUCAGCUCGUGUUGUGAAAUGUUGGGUUAAGUCCCGCAACGAGCGCAACCCUUAUCCUUUGUUGCCAGCGGUCCGGCCGGGAACUCAAAGGAGACUGCCAGUGAUAAACUGGAGGAAGGUGGGGAUGACGUCAAGUCAUCAUGGCCCUUACGACCAGGGCUACACACGUGCUACAAUGGCGCAUACAAAGAGAAGCGACCUCGCGAGAGCAAGCGGACCUCAUAAAGUGCGUCGUAGUCCGGAUUGGAGUCUGCAACUCGACUCCAUGAAGUCGGAAUCGCUAGUAAUCGUGGAUCAGAAUGCCACGGUGAAUACGUUCCCGGGCCUUGUACACACCGCCCGUCACACCAUGGGAGUGGGUUGCAAAAGAAGUAGGUAGCUUAACCUUCGGGAGGGCGCUUACCACUUUGUGAUUCAUGACUGGGGUGAAGUCGUAACAAGGUAACCGUAGGGGAACCUGCGGUUG